GAUGAAGAACGCAGCGAAAUGCGAUAAGUAAUGUGAAUUGCAGAAUUCAGUGAAUCAUCGAAUCUUUGAACGCACAUUGCGCCCCUUGGUAUUCCGAGGGGCAUGCCUGUUCGAGCGUCAUUAUAACCCCUCAAGCUCAGCUUGGUGUUGGGGCCUGCUGCACUGGCAGCCCUUAAAAUCAGUGGCGGCGCCAUCUGGCUCUAAGCGUAGUAAUUCUUCUCGCUAUGGAGUCCUGGUGGAUGCUUGCCAUCAACCCCCAAUUUUUCUAUGGUUGACCUCGGAUCAGGUAGGGAUACCCGCUGAACUUAAGCAUAUCAAUAAGCGGGAGGA
rnacentral:misc_RNA from 1 species